UCGGGAAUUUUGGGCAAUGGGCGAAAGCCUGACCCAGCAACGCCGCGUGAGGGAUGAAGUAUUUCGGUAUGUAAACCUCGAAAGAAUGGGAAGAAUAAAUGACGGUACCAUUUAUAAGCUCCGGCUAACUACGUGCCAGCAGCCGCGGUAAUACGUAGGGAGCAAGCGUUGUUCGGAUUUACUGGGCGUAAAGGGCGCGUAGGCGGCGCGGUAAGUCACUUGUGAAAUCUCUGAGCUUAACUCAGAACGGCCAAGUGAUACUGCUGUGCUAGAGUGCGGAAGAGGCAACCGGAAUUCUUGGUGUAGCGGUGAAAUGCGUAGAUAUCAAGAGGAACACCUGAGGCGAAGGCGGGUUGCUGUGCCGACACUGACGCUGAUGCGCGAAAGCCAGGGGAG
rnacentral:rRNA from 1 species